UACGAAGGGGGCUAGCGUUGUUCGGAAUCACUGGGCGUAAAGGGCGCGUAGGCGGCUUUUCAAGUCGGGGGUGAAAGCCUGUGGCUCAACCACAGAAUUGCCUUCGAUACUGUUAGGCUUGAGACCGGAAGAGGUGAGUGGAACUGCGAGUGUAGAGGUGAAAUUCGUAGAUAUUCGCAAGAACACCAGUGGCGAAGGCGGCUCACUGGUCCGGUUCUGACGCUGAGGCGCGAAAGCGUGGGGAGCAAACAGG
rnacentral:rRNA from 1 species